UAACCUGCCCAAGAGAUCGGGAUAACACCUGGAAACAGAUGCUAAUACCGGAUAACAACAGAUGAUGCCUAUCAACUGUUUAAAAGAUGGUUCUGCUAUCACUCUUGGAUGGACCUGCGGUGCAUUAGCUAGUUAGUAGGGUAACGGCCUACCAAGGCGAUGAUGCAUAGCCGAGUUGAGAGACUGAUCGGCCACAUUGGGACUGAGACACGGCCCAAACUCCUACGGGAGGCAGCAGCC
rnacentral:rRNA from 1 species